rnacentral:tRNA from 1 species
GCUCCCGUGGUGUAGAUGAAAACAACUUCAGCACAUUCCGGCCAAUCAUUCUGCCUUUUCGAGGCAGGGACCUGGGUUCAAAUCCCGGCGGGAGCA